rnacentral:rRNA from 1 species
GAUGAACGCUGGCGGCGUGCCUAAUACAUGCAAGUCGAGCGAACGGACGAGAAGCUUGCUUCUCUGAUGUUAGCGGCGGACGGGUGAGUAACACGUGGAUAACCUACCUAUAAGACUGGGAUAACUUCGGGAAACCGUAGCUAAUACCGGAUAAUAUUUUGAACCGCAUGGUUCAAAAGUGAAAGACGGUCUUGCUGUCACUUAUAGAUGGAUCCGCGCUGCAUUAGCUAGUUGGUAAGGUAACGGCUUACCAAGGCAACGAUGCAUAGCCGACCUGAGAGGGUGAUCGGCCACACUGGAACUGAGACACGGUCCAGACUCCUACGGGAGGCAGCAGUAGGGAAUCUUCCGCAAUGGGCGAAAGCCUGACGGAGCAACGCCGCGUGAGUGAUGAAGGUCUUCGGAUCGUAAAACUCUGUUAUUAGGGAAGAACAUAUGUGUAAGUAACUGUGCACAUCUUGACGGUACCUAAUCAGAAAGCCACGGCUAACUACGUGCCAGCAGCCGCGGUAAUACGUAGGUGGGCAGCGUUAUCCGGAAAUAUUGGGCGUAAAGCGCGCGUAGGCGGUUUUUUAGUCUGAUGUGAAAGCCCACGGCUCAACCGUGGAGGGUCAUUGGAAACUGGAAAACUUGAGUGCAGAAGAGGAAAGUGGAAUUCCAUGUGUAGCGGUGAAAUGCGCGGAGAUAUGGAGGAACACCAGUGGCGAAGGCGACUUUCUGGUCUGUAACUGACGCUGAUGUGCGAAAGCGUGGGGAUCAAACAGGAUUAGAUACCCUGGUAGUCCACGCCGUAAACGAUGAGUGCUAAGUGUUAGGGGGUUUCCGCCCCUUAGUGCUGCAGCUAACGCAUUAAGCACUCCGCCUGGGGAGUACGACCGCAAGGUUGAAACUCAAAGGAAUUGACGGGGACCCGCACAAGCGGUGGAGCAUGUGGUUUAAUUCGAAGCAACGCGAAGAACCUUACCAAAUCUUGACAUCCUUUGACAACUCUAGAGAUAGAGCCUUCCCCUUCGGGGGACAAAGUGACAGGUGGUGCAUGGUUGUCGUCAGCUCGUGUCGUGAGAUGUUGGGUUAAGUCCCGCAACGAGCGCAACCCUUAAGCUUAGUUGCCAUCAUUAAGUUGGGCACUCUAAGUUGACUGCCGGUGACAAACCGGAGGAAGGUGGGGAUGACGUCAAAUCAUCAUGCCCCUUAUGAUUUGGGCUACACACGUGCUACAAUGGACAAUACAAAGGGCAGCGAAACCGCGAGGUCAAGCAAAUCCCAUAAAGUUGUUCUCAGUUCGGAUUGUAGUCUGCAACUCGACUACAUGAAGCUGGAAUCGCUAGUAAUCGUAGAUCAGCAUGCUACGGUGAAUACGUUCCCGGGUCU